GCCGGAGUGGCGAAAUUGGUAUACGCACUAGACUCAAAAUCUAGCGGAAUUCACUUUCCAUGUCGGUUCGACUCCGACCUUCGGCA
rnacentral:tRNA from 1 species